rnacentral:lncRNA from 1 species
GGGAAAUGAAAAUGAAAGAAGAAAAAUGGAGCAUACACAAUGUUUUUUGUUUUAUAUUAUUCAGAUGACUCAAUCCUCAAAAUCCUAUUUUAUGCAGAGUUCUUGGUUUCACAUAUGUUGGGGAUGUGAGGGCCAGAGAAUAGAGGGGUAGAAGAGAAAGAGAAAAAAAAAAUUCAAAAGAAUUUCUUUUCUCCUCCAAUAGGUGGUGUUUUCUGUUUUAAACUGGUAUCUCUGCCCUCAGGAUGGUAUAGGUAAUCAGGGAGAGAAGACUGGUCUUGGUGUAGGGUGUCUGGGAGUUGGAAGUGCCACCUGCCAGUCACUGCAGGAAGAUUGUACCUCACAGGUCUCCUUUUGGAGCCACUCAUUUGACUUGAGCACCCAGUAUCAUCUCUCUCUCUCUUGCCUGGAGAUUUCCCAGUUCCUGGUCUCUCUGUUAGGCUCCAAGCAUUAGUCCCAACCCCUCUCACUUAGCAGUUCCCAUCUUCCAGGUCUCUCACACCCAGGCUCACACCAGGUGGGCAGAACCCUGGUCAUACUUUACACCUACCCAACUGAGAGCUGUUUUUGUGGUGGGUGGUCACUGUGCUUAGUUAUCGCUGCUGGGGGCAGGGGUUGGGGGGAGUUGGAUAUUUGGUUCCUGGCAAGAUGGAGACCCAAUCUGAGAACUGCCACCACCAAAUAUGGCAAGAAAGGUUAUCCAAGAUGGAGUUGAUCUCCUUCCAGUGCCAGGGAGUCUAGUGAAGUGGGGGGAGCCAGGCGAUGGCAUUGUGCUGUGGGUAGGUAGUAGCUGAGUGACCUGCGUGAGAGCGGAGUGCAGUCUGGAAUUCUGCAGAGGUGCUUGUAGGUGAUUCUGCUUAGCUGCUUGAGAGUUAUGCAUGGGCUAGAACUGCGGGAUUUGGGUUUCAGGAGCCAGGGGCCCGGAGUCCUACUCAAAUACUGAGGCUCUGAGCCCUGUGUGGGGGUCACAGUGCUGGUGAUUUCUGCAGAUAUCAGCUGUAUAUGAGUCCUCUUACACUCUCUGAUAUGCAGUAUCUAUAUUUCUUCUUCUAUGAAGUCUCUGUUCAAUUCCUUAGCCCAUUUAUUGAUUGGAUUAUUUGCUUUUUUGGUGUUAAGUUUUUUGAGUUCUUUAUAUAUCCUAGAGAUUAAUGCUUUAUAGAAGGUGCAUGUGGUAAAGAUUUUCUCCCAAUCUGUAGGUUCUCUCUUCACAUUAUUAAUUGUUCUCUGCUGAGAAGAAGCUUUUUAAUUUGAAUCCAUCCAAUUUAUUGAUUCUUGAUUUUAUUUCUUGAACUUUAGGAGUCUUUUUAAGGAAGUCAGAUCCUAGGCUAAUGUGGUGAAGAUUUGGGCCUAUUUUUUA